CACGAUUCUAAGUGGGGAAAAGGUGGGCUGAAGGGGGGGGGAAAGGGGUUAGUGGGGCUUCUGUGGGGUGGAAAGGGAGUCUGGGGGUGGAGAGGGGGUUGUGUGGAAUCUUGGGGGGGGGAGAAUGUGUAAGUGGGGCUUCUAUGGGGUGGAAGAGUGGGGAGGGGAAAGCUGGGUGGCUUCUAUGAGACAGAAAGGGGGUCCCGUUGGGGGAUACUGGGGGUCAAAAUGGGGGAGCGGACUCCAGAGGUCAGGGAGGAGGGCAUGGGGGGUACAGGGGACUCUAGGGGUCAGCACAUGGGGUCAGCAGG
ensembl:lncRNA